GACGAACGCUGGCGGCGUGCCUAAUACAUGCAAGUCGAACGCAGUGGGGACGGGUGAGUAAAACGUGGGUAACCUCGCAUCAGAGGGGAUAACACUUGGAAAAAGGUGCUAAACCGAGACUGAUGGAUGGACUCGCGGUGCAUUAGCUACUUGGUGAGGUAACGGCUCACCAAGGCCACGAUGCAUAGCUGACCUGAGAGGGUGACCAGCCACACGGGGACGGAGACACGGCCCAGACUCCUACGGGAGGCAGCAGUGGGGAAUCUUCGGCAAUGGACGAAAGGCUGACCCAGCAACGCCGCGUGUGUGAAGAAGGUCUUCGGAUCGUAAAGCUCUGUUAUUGGGGAGGCGGUAUCCGACCAGAAAGCCACGGCUAACUACGUGCCAGCCGCCGCGGUAAUUC
rnacentral:rRNA from 1 species